rnacentral:lncRNA from 1 species
GUUUGUGAGUUAGAGACCCGGUUUACACAUCAAUGACCUCUAGAAAAAAUGUGUUUAAUCCUUAUAAUUCUUCAGCCAAACAUACGCGAAUAUUAAUUUACAUCAUUACUUUGAUGGCUACUAUAUGUACCAUCAGAUGCACAAUGUCAUGUCGUAACUAAGGAGUACGCCGCCAUCUUGACUUUCUAAAAACUUAAAUGUUCGAUAAAUGCAACAGAAUCUAAAAUGAACUAGCACCUACCUCAAAAACUUCAUUUUAAUUAGAUACUAUCCAAAUUUGAAGCGUACAAGUAACGAAAUAAUCUUCCGUCUGAAAGUUUUCAAUCGUAUGACGU